rnacentral:rRNA from 1 species
UACGUAGGGUGCGAGCGUUAAUCGGAAUUACUGGGCGUAAAGCGUGCGCAGGCGGUUAUUUAAGUCAGGUGUGAAAGCCCUGGGCUUAACCUAGGAAUUGCGCUUGAGACUGGAUAGCUUGGAGUGCGGCAGAGGGAGGUGGAAUUCCCGGUGUAGCAGUGAAAUGCGUAGAGAUCGGGAGGAACAUCUGUGGAAGGCGACUGCCUGGACCAGCACUGACACUGAGGCACGAAAGCGUGGGGAGCAAACAGG